rnacentral:tRNA from 1 species
GCCACUUUAGCUCAGUUGGUAGAGCAAUAGUUUUGUAAACUAUAGGUCGUGGGUUCAAAUCCCUCAAGUGGCU